CUAGGGCAAAGCAGUUAGCUAGGUUACUGCUCUGUUUCAGCUGUAGUGGGACUAGGGCAAAGCAGUUAGCUAGGUUACUGCUCUGUUCAGCUGUAGUGGGACUAGGGCAAAGCAGUUAGCUAGGUUACUGCUCUGUUCAGCUGUAGUGGGACUAGGGCAAAGCAGUUAGCUAGGUUACUGCUCUGUUCAGCUGUAGUGGGACUAGGGCAAAGCAGUUAGCUAGGUUACUGCUCUGUUCAGCUGUAGUGGGACUAGGGCAAAGCAGUUAGCUAGGUUACUGCUCUGUUCAGCUGUAGUGGGACUAGGGCAAAGCAGUUAGCUAGGUAAUGCUCUGUUCAGCUGUAGUGGGACUAGGGCAAAGCAGUUAGCUAGGUAAUGCUCUGUUCAGCUGUAGUGGGACUAGGGCAAAGCAGUUAGCUAGGUAAUGCUCUGUUCAGCUGUAGUGGGACUAGGGCAAAGCAGUUAGCUAGGUAAUGCUCUGUUCAGCUGUAGUGGGACUAGGGCAAAGCAGUUAGCUAGGUAAUGCUCUGUUCAGCUGUCGUGGGACUAGGGCAAAGCAGUUAGCUAGGUAAUGCUCUGUUCAGCUGUAGUGGGACUAGGGCAAAGCAGUUGGCUAGGUUACUGCUCUGUUUCAGCUGUAGUGGGACUAGGGCAAAGCAGUUAGCUAGGUAAUGCUCUGUUCAGCUGUAGUGGGACUAGGGCUAAGCAGUUAGCUAGGUAAUGCUCUGUUUCAGCUGUAGUGGGACUAGGGCAGAGCAGUUAGCUAGGUUACUGCUCUGUUCAGCUGUAGUGGGACUAGGGCAGAGCAGUUAGCUAGGUAAUGCUCUGUUCAGCUGUAGUGGGACUAGGGCAAAGCAGUUAGCUAGGUAAUGCUCUGUUCAGCUGUAGUGGGACUAGGGCAGAGCAGUUAGCUAGGUUACUGCUCUGUUCAGCUGUAGUGGGACUAGGGCAAAGCAGUUAGCUAGGUAAUGCUCUGUUCAGCUGUAGUGGGACUAGGGCAGAGCAGUUAGCUAGGUAAUGCUCUGUUCAGCUGUAGUGGGACUAGGGCAAAGCAGUUAGCUAGGUAAUGCUCUGUUCAGCUGUAGUGGGACUAGGGCAGAGCAGUUAGCUAGGUUACUGCUCUGUUCAGCUGUAGUGGGACUAGGGCAAAGCAGUUAGCUAGGUAAUGCUCUGUUCAGCUGUAGUGGGACUAGGGCAGAGCAGUUAGCUAGGUAAUGCUCUGUUUCAGCUGUAGUGGGACUAGGGCAAAGCAGUUAGCUAGGUAAUGCUCUGUUCAGCUGUAGUGGGACUAGGGCAGAGCAGUUAGCUAGGUAAUGCUCUGUUCAGCUGUAGUGGGACUAGGGCAAAGCAGUUAGCUAGGUAAUGCUCUGUUCAGCUGUAGUGGGACUAGGGCAGAGCAGUUAGCUAGGUAAUGCUCUGUUUCAGCUGUAGUGGGACUAGGGCAAAGCAGUGAGCUAGGUAAUGCUCUGUUCAGCUGUAGUGGGACUAGGGCAAAGCAGUUAGCUAGGUUACUGCUCUGUUCAGCUGUAG